rnacentral:lncRNA from 1 species
GACGUCCGCGUGGCGGCGUCUUGCUCCACGCAGGCGCAGGCGGCCGCCACCUGAACGCGACGCCUCCGGCCGGCCCCGCCUGCCCCCGCCGCGGCCCAACUUGACCGGAGUUGAGGUCCUGAGCGCCUGCCCCCGAGCAGCCGGCCCGCGGAGAGCUCUGCGCCGCCACCCCAGGUCCGGAACCCCUCCCCGCUCCUCUCCGCUCCCGCGACCGGAAAAGUUGGCGCGGGCGGCCGCCCCCCAGCCGUGCAGAGCGCUCUUCUCCCCGGCGCGGGGCCCUCGGUCCUCCGGCCCCCGGAGCCUGCGGUGGUGGCUCCUGCUGGGUCCUGCAGUACCAGAGUUGCGACCCCAGGGUCCCCUUACCAGCGGCUGCCAGGACGCACUCCUGCUCCUCCCUCCCCUUCCCGGAGCGCACCCGGCACUGGGGCGGUGCGAGGUGAGCGGGAAAAGAUGGAGCAGGAGAAGCCCAUGGGGACUUCGGGCAGCGGGAGCGUAGACUCCGGAACAAUAAUAAAAAAAUACGCAGGCUUCCAGGAUGGAGGAACUGAAGCUGACAAACAGCAAGUUAGAGGGUGGCAAGGAACUCCAGCACACCAAAGUGCCCCGCCCGUCCCGACCGCCGCCACAGCCGGAUACUUGCUGAGAACCUAGUAUUUUCCAGGCGUUGAUCAAGAGGUGUGUGUGAAGUGAUACAAAAAGUUAUGAACAUUCAUAUAAGGCAGUAGAAGAUGAUGGCACAACUGCUAGAGAAGUAAAGCUUGUUAUCCCGGAAGAGAAAUAGAAGCUGCCAUUUGCUUUCUCUCCGCUGGCCGCUGACCCUUGGAGAGGCAGUGUGGACAACAUACUCACUUACUCACAACAGUGCCACUGAGACAUGUUAUCAGCUCCUGCCCAGCCUCAGACCCAGUCAAGACAAGUGGGGCUGCUGUGUGGAGGGCAAUUCCCUGAGCCCCUAAGAAAAUUCAGAGAACCUCUCAGAAGACAAAGCUUUGGAUUGGACUACAGCUUCACCUGUGACUCUUUCCUAGCAAGCCAUGGUGUUGGAUGAAACAAGAAGAUGUGAACUGUAAUCCAGUCACAAAAGCCAAAAGUUGAGAAGAAGUUGCCAUUUCUUCUUCCUGCUUACCACUCAAGGAUCUAUUUCCCCAAAUCCCUGUUAGAGUUAUUGGUAUCCUGGCUUUAUACAUAUUCCAUGGUAUUUGAAUGCAUAAACUGGCGCUCACAGCAUUGGUUUGAAGUUAGUGGUUCUGCCACACUCUAGCUAUAUGACUUAGGCAUGUUAGUUAUCACUCUGAGCCUCAACUUUAUCAUCUGUAUGAUGGGAGUAGUCCUAUCUGUCCUGCCUGCUUGGUCAAAUAAAAUUGCAGCUUUGUAAGUCUGAAACCUUAGGGUCCCAGGAAAGCUUGUAUGUUAUCUAAUUCAGCUUUUGUCUACUGUAGGUGACCAUGCCCUCACUAGCAUCCUGGACAAAUGGUCCUCCAUCUUCAGACUGAACUCGGACUGGCUCGGGAAUUAACAUUCUCAGGAGCUUUGAUUGUUAGAAUGUCCUUUCUAGUGCCAGGCUCAACUCUGAAUCCUCUAGUAGCUUUUACUCACUGGUUUCUGUUUCAUCUCUAGAUCCAACAAUGCAUUUAAUAUCAAAGUGUUCUGUGUUUUGAAGAGCACUGUACACCGUCCAUUUAACUGGUUAUCAAGUCAUCUUUUCAGCUCCUUUGCUUGCUCUGCCCUUGGGGUUCUGAUCUGGAUGGACUGCAUGGAACAGGACAUGGCAUUGGAUGUUCCUGAACAUUCUCAAAUAUCUUUGUGGCAUCAGUUAUGAAACUUUUCCUGAUCCCAAUCUGAUUAUUACUAAUGGUAGAGGUCCCCACACAUAGUGGGUGUGCUCAAAUCCCAGAGCCAUAAUUGAAAAAGCAUGUUUCCUAACACGUUUAAACUAUUUUAACUUGGAAGUAAUUUCCUCCUGUAUUACCUUGAGAUGAACCAAAUUUUAGUUAAAAAAAAAAAAAAGACAGAAAAAAAUCUAAAGAAUUACAUGAAUGUUAUUUGUAACCCAUCUGUUGUAAAAUAAAAUAUUUUUGUAUCUUAUACCUUGGUCUUGUUUAUGCAUAUAUGAUUAUGUAUUUAUGUAUAAUUGUUGAAAUUAUGCUAUUAUGUGGCUCUGCAUUUUGCUCUUUUAUUGAACACUAUAUUGUCUUUUCCCAUGUCAUUAUCAAUUAUUUGUAAAUAUCAUAAUGGUUGCAUCAUAAUAUUCUGUUGAAUGAAUAUACUAAAAUUUGCUUAAUCAA